CCGCAGUGUUGUCCCGACCCAGUCUGUUAGUAUAGAGUUGGUUUAGCCAUCAUUUCCCUGUCCUCUCUGCAACCCGCCCGCAGUGUUGUCCCGACCCAGUCUGUUAGUAUAGAGUUGGUAUCCCCAUCAUGUCCCUGUCCUCUCUGCAACCCGCCCGCAGUGUUGUCCCGACCCAGUCUGUUAGUAUAGAGUUGGUUUAGCCAGCGUUCGCCGGAGUCCAAAUCUGACUGUAAUUUUCAUAUCUUCCCUCCGUGGAGGCUUGACGAAUUAUCCAGCCCACCUUGGAUUUCUUUGGAAUAAACAUUUCUUAAGGAAUACACUAUUCAUGUCAAUGCUUCAACAUGCAGCCCCCACCGAGAAAGGUCAAAGUAACUCAGGAGCUGAAGAAUUGUCACAUAGAGCAGAUGACCAGACUGCACCUCAAACAUCAGACAGAGUGUGACCUGUUGGAGGACAUGAGGGCAUACAGUCUGAAGAAGGGCCAGUUGGAGAGGGACUAUGUCCAGGCUCUGCAGAAGCUGGCCAGUCAGUACCUGAAGAGGGAUUGGCCAGGUAUCAAACCAGACGGACAAAUCACAGACUACAGGAAUGUGUAUGCUGUGUGGCGGUCCUAUCUGAAGGGGACAGUACAGGUUACCCAGUCUCGCAUCAACGUGUGUGACAACUACAAGAAUGAGAUCUCAGAUCCUGCUAAAACUGUACGGCUAUACAAGGAACAGCAGCUCAACAAGAGUAUAGAACAGUUGAAUCGUAUCCAGGUGGAGCUGCAGGACUCUGUGAAAGACCUGGCCAAAGCCAAGAAGAAAUACUUCGACUCAGAACAGGUGGCUCAGGCCGUUCGAGAGAAGGCUGACAUCGAGGCCAAGUCGAAGCUAGGUCUGUUUCAGUCCAGGAUUAGUUUACAGAAAGCCAACGUUAAGUUGAAAGCCAAGAGGAGUGACUGUAACUCUAAAGCAACCCAUGCCAGGAAUGACUACCUGUUAACCCUGGCAGCAGCUAACGCUCACCAUGACCGCUACUACCAUACAGACCUGCUGCACUGUAUACAGGAGUUGGAUGGAGGGAUAUAUAACCAUGUGAAGGACUAUCUGAUCUCUAUCUGUCAGACAGAGCUGGAGGCCUUUCAGGCCAUACACAACACCUUCCAGUUCCUGCUGGACAAAUCCACCCGGGUGAUGCAGGAGUUUAACCAGCAGCUGUUCAUGCAGGAGAACCCUGUGUUUCAUAAAGCACAAGACUUCCAGUUCCAACCCAGCGACUGUGACACGACUCUGAGCUCAGUGCAGAAGUUGGUGGACAUUGAGCCUUCGCCCAUCAGUGUCAUGAGGAUGACGCUGGCACAGAGUCGUAAGUUGGAGACAGACACGGGGAGCCCGAGAGAGGAGCACAGUCUGAACAAGGAGGCCAGGAAGUGGGCAACCAGAAUGGCCCGAGAACACAAGAACAUCAUCCACUACAAGAGAAGCCUGGAGGAAUGUGAGACACUGGGAGUCCCUCAAACAGAGCAGGGCCGGCUUGAUCUGGAGCUGAAGAUAGAGGAUACCAAAGAGAACAUCCGCAAGGCUGAGACAGUAAAGCUGAAGGCAGAGGCUCGUCUGGACCUGCUGAGACAGGUGGGCGUUGCCGUGGAUACCUGGCUGAAGAGCGCCAUGAACCAGGUGAUGGAGGAGCUUGAGAAUGAGCGCUGGGCUACACUAAACUACACUACCCACGAUCCCUCACUCUCGGGCCCAGUUGAUCUGGAGCGGUCGGAGGGGGAGGAGUGUGAGGAGAACAUGGAGGUGUUUGACGACAGCAGCUCCAGCCCCUCUGGGACUCUCAGGAACUACCCACUCACCUGCAAAGUCCUCUAUUCAUACAAGGCAUCUCAGCCAGAUGAGUUGAGUAUAGAGGAGCAUGAGAUGUUGGAGGUGAUAGAGGAUGGAGACAUGGAGGACUGGGUCAAGGCGAGGAGUAAGACAGGGCUGAUUGGCUACGUCCCAGAGAAGUAUCUUCAGUUCCCCACCUCUAGCAGUCUACUGAGCAUGCUCCAGUCUCUCGCUGCGCUGGACACACGCUCACACACCUCCUCCAACUCCACCGAGCCAGAGAUACACACAGGCAGCAUCAACGGAGACGCCAGCUUGAGUUUUGUGAGGGCGCUGUAUGACUACGAUGGUCAGGCGGAUGAGGAGCUGUCCUUCCCAGAGGGGGCUGUCAUCCGUCUGCUUAACAGAGACACCCAAACGGACGAUGGCUUCUGGGAGGGAGAGUUCAACGGUCGAGUGGGAGUCUUCCCUUCUGUACUGGUGGAGGACCUCACGGAGAGCAGAGAGAACAGAGCAGACACACUGAUCUCUCCAUCUUCGAGGCUGCCCUCCUCGUUGCCCCCCCUCCCUCUGUAUGACCAGCCCCCCUGCAGCCCCUACGCCACCCCAGACACCCCUACCCCUCCGCCCCUCCCUCGAUCACCCUCUGUCAAUGGGGAACACAAGCCACCUCCCACAACGUACAAGGGACCCACUCACAAUCAUAGUCCAGUGUCUCCAGAGUUCUCCCAGCCCUCCCGGUUCACUCCCGACGGAGGCAUGAGCAAAAUACGACCUGUCCGUGCAGCACCUCCGCCCCCCAAGCAGAAACCUCGCAAACAGACAGAGAAGACUGAGGAGGUGGAGAUCACACUGGUGUGACAGACAGACAGAGAAGACUGAGGAGGUGGAGAUCACACUGGUGUGACAGACAGACAGAAGACUGAGGAGGUGGAGAUCACACUGGUGUGACAGACAGACAGAGAAGACUGAGGAGGUGGAGAUCACACUGGUGUGACAGACAGACAGAGAAGACUGAGGAGGUGGAGAUCACACUGGUGUGACAGACAGACAGAGAAGACUGAGGAGGUGGAGAUCACACUGGUGUGACAGACAGACAGAGAAGACUGAGGAGGUGGAGAUCACACUGGUGUGACAGACAGACAGAGAAGACUGAGGAGGUGGAGAUCACACUGGUGUGACAGACAGACAGAGAAGACUGAGGAGGUGGAGAUCACACUGGUGUGACAGACAGACAGAGAAGACUGAGGAGGUGGAGAUCACACUGGUGUGACAGACAGACAGAGAAGACUGAGGAGGUGGAGAUCACACUGGUGUGACAGACAGACAGAGAAGACUGAGGAGGUGGAGAUCACACUGGUGUGACAGACAGACAGACAGAAGACUGAGGAGGUGGAGAUCACACUGGUGUGACAGACAGACAGAAGACUGAGGAGGUGGAGAUCACACUGGUGUGACAGACAGACAGAGAAGACUGAGGAGGUGGAGAUCACACUGGUGUGACAGAGGGACAGCAGAGCACAGACCAGGAUGACUGAACUUUGAACUGGGCUUCACCUCUAAGCUUUGAACCCUGGAACUCCCCUUCACUCCCCCCUACCUCCCUCCACUGGGAAGAAACAUGGUUCUGUCUCCAAGCAACAAGGAGCAGAAGCCCCUCCAUCCCUCCUCACCCCUCCUCUUCCUCUGUGUCAGACUUUCUGUCUGUUGCCUUAACUUUUCUCUCAUCUGGCAGCCAUUGUGAAUGAAAGGAAUUCAACGGGAGGAGGAGGAAAAGGAGAAAUGCUGAGGUGGAGAGUUGCAAUGAGUUUUAUCUGCUAUCCAGUUCUGUCUAUUUGCAGUUUGACACACACACACACACGUCUUCUUCGCUUCAGUCUCUGAUGAACAGCGUGUGUUUGUAUCACUAAUAUUUAGUGAAUUGGAAGCGCAGUGCAGAGGAGACAGUGGACGUGCUGUAAGAGAUGGGGUUAAAUGUUUGGUGUUGUUCAGCUCUGGCUGUACCCUCUGUCAGGCUUCUGUUUAUCCUUCAGAUACCUGCUCAUCUUUCUCUCUGCUCUAUCACUGCUGGAGUCUGACUGAGUGGGAUGUUUUAGGUUGAGUGAGUGGGAUGUUUUAGGUUGAGUGGGUGGGAUGUUUUAGGUUGAGUGGGUGGGAUGUUUUAGGUUGAGUGGGUGGGAUGUUUUAGGUUGAGUGGGUGGGAUGUUUUAGGUUGAGUGGGUGGGAUGUUUUAGGUUGAGUGGGUGGGAUGUUUUAGGUUGAGUGAGUGGGAUGUUUUAGGUUGAGUGAGUGGGAUGUUUUAGGUUGAGUGAGUGGGAUGUUUUAGGUUGACUGAGUGGGAUGUUUUAGGUUGAGUGGGUGGGAUGUUUUAGGUUGAGUGGGUGGGAUGUUUUAGGUUGAGUGAGUGGGAUGUUUUAGGUUGAGUGGGUGGAAUGUUUUAGAUUGACUGAGUGGGAUGUUUUAGGUUGACUGGGUGGAAUGUUUUAGGUUGACUGAGUGGGAUGUUUUAGGUUGACUGAGUGGGAUGUUUUAGGUUGACUGGGUGGGAUGUUUUAGGUUGACUGAGUGGGAUGUUUUAGGUUGAGUGGGUGGGAUGUUUUAGGUUGAGUGGGUGGGAUGUUUUAGGUUGAGUGGGUGGGAUGUUUUAGGUUGAGUGGGUGGGAUGUUUUAGGUUGAGUGGGUGGGAUGUUUUAGGUUGAGUGGGUGGGAUGUUUUAGGUUGAGUGGGUGGGAUGUUUUAGGUUGAGUGGGUGGAAUGUUUUAGGUUGACUGAGUGGGAUGUUUUAGGUUGACUGGGUGGGAUGUUUUAGGUUGACUGGGUGGGAUGUUUUAGGUUGACUGAGUGGGAUGUUUUAGGUUGACUGAGUGGGAUGUUUUAGGUUGAGUGGGUGGGAUGUUUUAGGUUGAGUGGGUGGGAUGUUUUAGGUUGAGUGGGUGGGAUGUUUUAGGUUGAGUGGGUGGGAUGUUUUAGGUUGACUGAGUGGGAUGUUUUAGGUUGAGUGGGUGGGAUGUUUUAGGUUGACUGGGUGGGGAGACUGUAUUUAAUCGACUGAAUGAACGAACCCAGAGGUCCACCCGAAAAGAAGGGAGUAGAAGACAACAUCACCACAGAGGACAACGUAACCAGAGGAGAUGGACAACGUAACCAGAGGAGAUGGACCACAGAGGACAACGUAACCAGAGGAGAUGGACAACGUAACCAGAGGAGAUGGACCACAGAGGACAACGUAACCAGAGGAGAUGGACAACGUAACCAGAGGAGAUGGACAACGUAACCAGAGGAGAUGGACAACGUAACCAGAGGAGAUGGACAACGUAACCAGAGGAGAUGGACAACGUAACCAGAGGAGAUGGACCACAGAGGACAACGUAACCAGAGGAGAUGGACAACGUAACCAGAGGAGAUGGACCACAGAGGACAACGUAACCAGAGGAGAUGGACAACGUAACCAGAGGAGAUGGACAACGAACCAGAGGAGGACAACGUAACCAGAGGAGAUGGACAACGUAACCAGAGGAGAUGGACAACGUAACCAGAGGAGAUGGACAACGUAACCAGAGGAGAUGGACAACGUAACCAGAGGAGAUGGACCACAGAGGACAACGUAACCAGAGGAGAUGGACAACGUAACCAGAGGAGAUGGACCACAGAGGACAACGUAACCAGAGGAGAUGGACAACGUAACCAGAGGAGAUGGACAACGUAACCAGAGGAGAUGGACAACGUAACCAGAGGAGAUGGACAACGUAACCAGAGGAGAUGGACCACAGAGGACAACGUAACCAGAGGAGAUGGACAACGUAACCAGAGGAGAUGGACCACAGAGGACAACGUAACCAGAGGAGAUGGACAACGUAACCAGAGGAGAUGGACAACGUAACCAGAGGAGCUGCACCACAGAGGACAACGUAACCAGAGGAGAAGCUUUCUGUCAUAUUUUUUGUGUGUUCCUAUUUGAAGACUGGAGCCAUGCUUUUGUUAUUUAAACCAGGAAGUUUAUUUAGUUUCAAUAACCUUUGUUUUGUUGUGAUUCCACGUCCUACCCACUGACCACCUCAAACUAACAAUCAAUUAAACAAUCAAAUCACUUUGACUGAUAUGUUGACCACCUCUCUACUGAGCCCCUAAAGUUCCUGAUGAGGUAGAGCUCAGAAAUGGUCUGGUCUAACCUCUAACCUUUCAGUUUCACCCUUGAACUUUGACAUAUGAUGUCCUGUAGAUUUUGAAAGCCCUUCAGACUGAUUAAUCAGCUCCUAACAUAUCGCACAGCUAUUGGCUUGCACAUUUCAAACCUGCCACACUGAUAGGGUAUACUACUACACAAGAAACUACCGUAUAGAAGAUUCAACUACACUGAACAAAAAUACAAAACACAACAUGCAACAAUUUCAAAGAUUUUACUAACAGUUCAUAUAAGGAAAUCAGUCAAUUUAAAUACAUUUGUUAUGCCCUGAUAUAUGGAUUUCACAUGGCUGGGAAUACAGAUAUGCAUCUGUUGAUCACAGAUACCUUGGUCUGCAGUUGGAUAUACUGAGGCCAGUUGGACAUAGUGCCAAAUUCUAUCAAACGACUUUGGAGGAGACUUAUGGUAGAGAAAUUAAUAUUCAAUUCUCAGGCAACAGCUCUGGUGGACAUUCCUGCAGUCAGCACAGCACAUUUUAGAGUGGCCUUUUGUCCCCUGCACAAGGUGCACCUGUGUAAUGAUCAUGCUGUUUAAUCAGCUUCUUGAUAUGCCACACCUGUCAGGUGGAUGGAUUUUCCUGGCAAAGGAGAAAUGCUCACUAACAGAUUUGUAAGAAGAAAAAAAAUGCGUAAAAAGCUUUUUGUGUGUAUGGAACAUUUCUGGGAUCUUUUAUUUCAGCUAAUGAAACAUGGGACCAACACUUUACAUGUUGCACUUAUAUUUUGAUUCAGUGUAGACACCCUGUGGGGUUGUACCUUACCGUAGGUCAGUGUAGACACCCUGUGAGGUUCUACCUUACCGUAGGUCAGUGUAGACACCCUGUGAGGUUCUACCUUACCGUAGGUCAGUGUAGACACCCUGUGAGGUUCUACCUUACCGUAGGUCAGUGUAGACACCCUGUGGGGUUGUACCUUACCGUAGUUCAGUGUAGACACCCUGUGAGGUUGUACUUUACCGUAGGUCAGUGUAGACACCCUGUGGGGUUCUACCUUACCGUAGGUCAGUGUAGACACCCUGUGGGGUUGUACCUUACCGUAGUUCAGUGUAGACACCCUGUGAGGUUGUACUUUACCGUAGGUCAGUGUAGACACCCUGUGAGGUUGUACUUUACCGUAGGUCAGUGUAGACACCCUGUGAGGUUGUACUUUACCGUAGGUCAGUGUAGACACCCUGUGAGGUUGUACUUUACCGUAGGUCAGUGUAGACACCCUGUGAGGUUGUACUUUACCGUAGGUCAGUGUAGACACCCUGUGAGGUUGUACUUUACCGUAGGUCAGUGUAGACACCCUGUGAGGUUGUACUUUACCGUAGGUCAGUGUAGACACCCUGUGAGGUUGUACUUUACCGUAGGUCAGUGUAGACACCCUGUGAGGUUGUACUUUACCGUAGGUCAGUGUAGACACCCUGUGAGGUUGUACUUUACCGUAGGUCAGUGUAGACACCCUGUGAGGUUGUACAUUAUCCAUUACCAGCCCCUUCAAGCAGGCCUUCUUAAACCCAACCUAGGGAGACAUCAUAGCACUCGAUUUGUUUUAUUCACCUGUUUCUAUUUCUGUAGUUUUUUUAGUGUUGCUCUCUGAUUCUGGCUGCAUCUCCCUAACCUCGGGGCCCUAACCUCAGGGCCCUAACCUCGGGGCCCUAACCUCUGACCCUGUAUCGUGUUCUACAGAAGCCAGGGAACCAUUUGGUCUGCUACUUUAGAAUGAUGUUAUUAAAAAAAUACAAAUAAAGUUAUUUGAAUUAUGAAACAAUUGAAGGAAUAUUGAAUGAACCUUGGAGAUAAUGUGGAUUUGUUAGUUUUAGGUGGUGUGUGAGUUUUGAGUGAUUUAUAAUGCGAGGGGAGUUAGGAUACGGUCCUAUCUGUACUUGGCUAGUUUGGUCUGCUCUAAACAACACCCUCUCUGAGAUCUUUAUAAUGUUUCUCAAACUUGUUUAGAAGUUUCUGGUUUACAUCAACGUCCUCCAUCUUGUCAGAAAGCUGUUCUCACCCACAGAGCAAGCCAACACUUUAUUACAAUACGGGUGAUGUUACGGUUCAUCUCUCUGGCCAAAUACAGCUCUGUAAUCUCCCUGUGGAACAGUCCUGUGUCCCUGUAGGUUUAGUUUAUAGUUUUGAUUUGGAGAUGUUUCUGAGCUGCUAAAUCAGUGUAGUUGAACAACAGGUCUUCUCUUCUGACUUGCCACGGUGACAACAUUGAGAACAGGUGAAAAAUCCUUUCUGCAUAUUAUUAUUGGCUGUAAAAAAAAAAAAUGUGUUUGUGUACAAAUGUUCAAUAAUAAAACGGAUGGAAAAAUGCA